rnacentral:tRNA from 1 species
ACUUUAAUAAUUUAAAUAAAAUAAUGGUCUUGUAAAUCAUCAAUAAGCUACAAGCUUUUAAAGUA